rnacentral:rRNA from 1 species
UUUUUGGAGAGUUUGAUCCUGGCUCAGGACGAACGCUGGCGGCGUGCCUAAUACAUGCAAGUCGAGCGAACUUGAUGGGAGCUUGCUCCCUGAGAGUUAGCGGCGGACGGGUGAGUAACACGUGGGUAACCUGCCUGUAAGACUGGGAUAACUCCGGGAAACCGGGGCUAAUACCGGAUAACUUUUUUCUUCGCAUGAAGGAGAAUUGAAAGAUGGCUUUAAGCUACCACUUACAGAUGGACCCGCGGCGCAUUAGCUAGUUGGUGAGGUAACGGCUCACCAAGGCGACGAUGCGUAGCCGACUUGAGAGGGUGAUCGGCCACACUGGGACUGAGACACGGCCCAGACUCCUAC